CUGAGUUGGACUGCGCCAGGAGAAAGAAAACAGUCUGACAGCAUCAACACAGCGUGCGGUUAUUCCAGCAGAUAAACAUCAAUGGCUUUUAUCUUAGCUGUAUCACCAUCCUCUGUCAAAAUGACUCUACCUAAACAAACUGCGGUAAACACAGUCUGAUCUCCAGGGUCCAGUGUCCUGUGUGUGAGCGCUGUGUGUCUUGUUGGAGAUCCCUACACUGAGCUACAUUGCGCAGAUUCCACCUGCAUGAUGACAGCGACCAGCAACCGCAGAGUGGGAGAGAGUAGAGCCCACACCGUCACGUCAGCGACAAUGACAUCAAACAAGGUCCGGUCAGGACUUCCAAAAUAAAAUAGGUUUAAAGGAAGACGUUGGUUCUGAGGAAUAGACUACCAAAAUAAAAGUAUCAACAACUUCUUUGUGUGAAUCUAACGUCUGUCAUGAAUCGAAGACGUUUAAUGAAGAAUUCAACAGUAGAUAAGCCCAUACCGCCCAUAGAAACACAUAACUGAGAAGUUAAAUAUCCUGUACAGGCUGGAUUACCCAUAAAGCAAAACAGAUAACUGCACAGGGGUCCCAGACAGUCAGGACCCCUCAGAAGCCCCAGGUUUACUCUGUUUCUGGUUACAUAAUCUAUUUUUAGGCUUGGAUAUUGAAGAGGGUCUUGAAGAGUUUUAUUGUGCUCUUCUGUUGUAAAGUCUUGUUUUAUCAAAUUGCUUUAAUUUUUCUGUGUGUUGAGUAGAUGUUGGGCAAGGUAGGUAUAAAACAUAUUUCAUUUUGUAUGAAAAUCGCAGAUUUUGAGUUUAAUUAUCCUAGAAAACCAAGAGACUUGCAAAUAUUCAUAUUUGUUAAGUUGGUAGUGGAAAUUUGCUGCCAUGUCAUCUGAGGUGCCUGAAGAAAUAAUUAAACUGCCUUGUAUAAUGUGGCUCAAUAGAA